GGCAUAAUGUUAUUACUAAACAAAGUUAGACUCUUUAUCUUUAUUACAUUGGAUUAAAAAUGACUGGAACCAACACAUGUGCAGUUGACAAAAUAACUAACCUUUUAGUUCUAAUUAGUACUUAAUUAAAUUGAGCAGCAGUAUCAGACUUACAGCUACAUUAAAUUGUCUUUGAAUCUGUCUGAUUCCUUUAUUUCUCCCUUGUACCAGUAAGGAAGUUUCAGACAUGAAAGUGUUAACUGCUGCUUUGAAAUUACUCCUAUUUAAGAAGAAAAAUCAUAUUACUUUCUUAAUCUUUCUAAUUCUAUUCUCAUAAGAUGAUCUUGGAUUUGUUCCUUUAGCACAGACUCUUUAGUGCAGUCCUGAUUUCUGUAUUAAUGAAUUGAGAAGAUGACAUCAGGCUCUUAGAUCCUUGAUAUCCCAGCUGAUACAUGUGCACAUGCUGACUUCCUCCAGGACACCACAACCCAUAGUGAUAAUUGCAGUGCUGAAGCUACCCGCUGUGUUAAAGGGAUCAGCGCUUCAAACAAGAUGGCAUUCUUGCUCAACUCUUUGUUUCCCUUCUAUGAGAUGAAGAACUAGGGAUAUGCUGACCCUGGAAUCACGUCUGCAAAGUGUUUGGAGUUGUUUGGGAACAAGGCUGAAGAAAAUGGAGAAAUAUUAUUAGAUUAUGUUUAUUUUUUCCAGAUUUUUUAAAAAAAAUAUUUUCAAUACCUCUGCUAGUGAAGAUGUAAGAGUGUUGUUGAUGGUUCCACACACCUUUUUGUGGGAAGACUUGUAGUUCAUAAAAAGAAAAAAAAAUGGAGGAGAACAUAACUGUUCUUGAAGGUGGUGAAUGGUGUGGGGAAGAUGGAUAUGAGGAGUGGCAGAGGUCACUUGGUUUGUUCAGCCUGGGGAGACUGAGGGAUGAAUCGACAGCUUCCUCCCAAGGCAAAACAGACAGGCAGGCACUGGUCUGUUCUCUUUGUUGACCAGUGACAGGACUCGAGGAAAGGAAAUGAAACUGUGUCAGAGGAGGUUUAGGUUGGAUAUUAAGAAAAUGUUCUUCUCCCAGAUGGUGGCUGGGCACUGGAACAGUCACUCCAGGGAAGUGGUCACAGCACCAAGCCUCACAGACUUCAAGAAGUGUUUGGACAACAUUUUCAGAUACAUGGUGGGAUUCUUAGAGUUGUCCUGUGCAGGGCCAGGAGUUGGACUCUGUGAUGCUUUUGGGUCCUUUCCAGAUAUUGAUUCAUUCUGUGAUUCACUGAUGACAGCAAGAUAACUGCAGCAUCAUCUAAACUAACCCAGAAAAUCACCCACACGUCCCUUAGUGCUCAGUCUUCACUGGAGCCAUGUCUCCUAAUUAACAUCUGCAGUGAUUACCAGAUAUUCUGAAUUAAAUUGUAUACAGGCUAAUUUUCAAAUUGUGUAUUAUUAUCAGACACUUCCUGUGUUGAAAUUGUUGUCUGGACAUACUUCACAAUCAAAGCAUUGUGUAGCACUAGGUACAUUUCUUUAUAUAAAAAAACAGAGAGAAGCUCUUGAGCUGCAUGAGAUGGAGUGAAAUUGCCUUAGUGAGACAGAAUCUGAGUUUUGACUCCCUAGCUGUCAUGAAAGUCAAACACAAUGAAUCAUCUGAGGAAGAGCUGGAGAAUUUGGAACAAAUAGAUUCUCUGAAGAAGGUAUAAAUAGAGCUUUAUGCUGUUUAUGUUCUCUGAAGAGCUAGGAGGGCCUCUUCCCUUCAAAUUUGCCAUGCUAUUAGGAGCACAAAGUGCCCUUUUUGGGGUGAGAACAUAGAAAUUUCAUUUUUCAGGAGUGAACGCUUAGCGCAAUCAGCACUUGAGAACAAGGCUGAAUGCUCCAAACUAUGAAAGCCCUCACAGAACAUGACUCUCCAUAUAGAACCCUGAGAUCUUUAUGAAUAUGUAACUUGAUAACAUCAGGUAUCUAUGCAGGUAUAUGCAGGGAUGUAUAGCUAUUCUGCAAAGAACUGCUUCUCUGCUUCAGUCUCCGUUGACAUUUCUUUUUGCCUGUGAAUGAAUUAAGCACAAGACUGAUCACAUAAUGUGGACUAUGAACUCGAUGUUCAAAGUCAAGAUGAAGAGUUCAAGAGCAAGUUGAAAUAUUUGCUGAAGCAUUUUUGUCAGCCAAACCCUGUAAUAUACUUACAGACUUACACCCCAAGGGAAGAACCAUUGCAUACUUAAGAUCAUAACAGAAAGAGAAGGAAAUGUAGUAAGAACAUUUCUGUAUUAAAGUAAUUUCACUGCUGUAUAAUUUUCUAACCAAAAUGACAUCCAAAGACUUCCAAGAUAACCAUGUCUCUAAAAUAGCUUUUCUUCUGAAAUUUUCAUUUGCAUUUAAUCUGUGGUGCUGUGAAGAAAAAGAGAACACAGCUGUCAUUUGAGGGUUCACACCCCUUAUCAUGAACUGCAUUGAUACCUGUGGCUAGCUUGGCUGUUUCCCUACUAAUCCACGAGAAAACUAAGCUUGGCCAUCUUCUGCUCAGCAUGGUUUGUUCCCUCUACCUUUUCCAUGCUGCCUUAAAAUUCCUGACUGAUGUGUAAAUAAUCUGUAGAAAUCUGGGUUCCCACAAAUCUGAAUGGGAGUAAAGAGGCAAGGAGGGAAUGGCAAACCAGCCACGAAUACUGUUGUCUAUGGCUAUAGACAUAUAGACGUAUCCACAGAGCAGGUGGCUUAUACUGUGGAUGCCUUUGUGUGUCCUCAUGCAGAUUACUUGGUAGCACAUGACUAAACCUUGAGUGCCAAUACAUGACUCCAGAGACAUUUCCUCAGUUUAUGGGGUGAGGGAAAAAAGCAGAAAUUAUAUUUCAGAACAUAUUAGAUAUUUCUGAAAUACUUGAUGGUACAUAUACUGGGUGUUUAGUACAUGCUUUAUACCUCAAAGUAUUCAUGCAUGUAUAUUUACUUUUAUAAUUUAUAGACCAGUUACAACACCAAGCUCUCUUCCAGAUGUCAAGAAUAAAAUUAUAUUUCACAGCUACUUUUACAACUGAUAGUAAAUCUUGAAGAUGGUACAAGUACUGUGAAAGUCAUCUGACCUUGAGCAAGAAGAAAACCCCACUGGAAGACUUCUAUCUCAGAGAUAAUCAAGGUGUGCCUGCAAAUGGUUGCUUAUUUGCAGCCAGAGACUUUGGUUCUGCACUAUUUUCCUUUUUAAAAUGAAAGGUGCAAGUUUAACCCAAAAUUCUCAAAGCCAAAAAUACUUUCUUUCAAAACCAGUUGACCAAAUUGUGAGGCUGACAGUUUUUGGAAAGUUUCAUGAUAGUUCUCCAAGAAAUGUACACAUCAGCAUUAAGCAGGCACAUCUUAAUAAAAGGCAAACAUCAGGAGGAACACCAGUAUUGUAUUAUGAAGCUUACAUUAUAUCAUAUGCUUGUGUUGCCUAAAAAUGUUCCACAUGGCUCUUUCACUUGUCCCAAUGACCCUUUAAGGAGCCAGAAGAUUCUGCCAGUAAAAAAGAAGCCAGUUAAGAGUAUCAGAAACCAAAUGUUAGGACUAAAGUUAGGAGAAACCAUCAAAAUCACCUAUGGUGUUUAGUCCACAUUAUACAAGGAAUUUUUCCAAGCCUAUGUUAUAGUGUCAAUGAAUAAUUGUAAAUAUUAAAGAGACAUGGAUACAGUGAAAAUAAUUUUGGAAACUUUUCCUUGUAUUGCAGCUCAUGGCUGGGAAAUUUUCUGAGCAGAAGGCAGUAUGUACACCACAAUGGUUAACAGAUUUCAUGGUCAUUCAUAUCAACAGUUUCAACCAUUCACUGAAUAGGAGAAUAUAUAUUGUUGUCUUUUAAAUUUCCUUUUGAUUUUUUCCAUUCUUGUCAUACAAUUCAUGGUCAUCAAUUGCCCUGUAUUAGCUUUCACCAUGCCAUUUGUGACACGGAGUAUCCUCUUCCUCUGCAACUGCUCUUCACUGUCCUGCUUCAGCUAUAUGGAAUUGUUCCAUACCUGUGGAGCAUCACCUUUUAUGUAACUAUUCUUGUCCUAUUUUAGCCUUUUUGGGGCAGGGCUGCACACACUCUAGAUAAAAUAAUGACAGAUUCAUACAGUGGAAUAAAGAUAAUGUUUUCUGAAGGUCAUGAAAAAGGGCAAAACACUGAUUGCUCCGUGGAGCAAAAAAAGAACUAUUUCCACAGAUAGAAAUACUCAUUAUAAUCUCUCCUUCCAAAAUAUCAGUAAGUAGAAAACCUUAUUACAAAAAAGAAUAUUCACCUGAUAAAAGAAAAAAACACCAGGCAUCAAAAACAAUAUACAAGCCUACAGUGAAAGCAUAGGAAAAGCUGUGAUAUAAACCCUCAAAUAGUCCUAAAAUCACACAGUUCCACAUUAAUUUCUCAAAAUUUCCAUAGGAGCAACACAGCCUCUGAUGCAAAACAUUUACCUUCAUCUUCCAUCAAAUUCAAUAGCUUAUGUUUAGUAGUAAAUUCAUGAGAGUUUCAAGCAUUCAACCUCUGGAAAAUAUUUGGCCCAUUCUAGAACUUAACCCUGAAAACAGUAAAGUGAGCAAAUGAAUCCCUUUAAAAGAGGUUUUCAAACCUCUAAAGGCAACCAUGUGGGUCUCUUAUGUCAAUGCAUCGUUUCUAUAAUCCACUGUCCAGCUACAGCAGCUCAACUCUGAAGUGGUGAUGUAAGCUAAAACCCUAUAAUGCUCUUAUUCAGUGAUAGAAAAUCUUCAAUAAACUGAGCUUUCCAAAA
ensembl:lncRNA